CUUAUUCUGCCAGGCUCUGUGCAGAACUCUCUUCCAAGGAUGCGGGCUACUGAGACUUGGGUUCCUACUACUUAGAACCAAAGGAGUUCUGACUCCCACACCAGGAAUUACAUGAAAUAGACUUGAUCGGAUUCCUGUGUCCUUUGCAAGAACCAGUAGCAAUACUGCAAAUGGCCAAAUAUAUCUGUGUUUCGUGAAGUCAUGUGUUUUCUAUAUCCCAGUCUACGGGAGUACAAAUUUGCGUAUCUGAUGCAUCUUAUCCUGAUGAAGUCUGGCAUGCAACACUGUCCCAGAAGCAGCGAAACAGCCUCAGAAACAAGUGUUCCUGUGACAAAGCUCCCACGCAUUUUCAUCAGUGAGUCAACGUAUGAAGCAUAAGAACAAUUUGAUUACAAUAAUGUGGCGCAACACAACAUACAGCUUGUUGUUCAAACACAUUUGAAUUGUUAUUUUUGUGUCCAUGUCAGAUUAGUUUUUUGUAUAUUCAUUCCAAAUUAUUGAUCACACCAAAAUUCACGUAUGAUGAGGAGGUAACAGUGGAAGCAAAACACAUAAAAGUGAGAGAAAGAAGAUGG
rnacentral:lncRNA from 1 species